UCCCCAGCUUCACUGUUAUGUAGCGCCAUCUGCUGGCAGAAGGCCGUUACUUCAACUCAAUUUCAUUCAAUGGAACAAUUUAGGAAUUUUGGCAAGGAUUUUUCAGUGCAAAUUUUUUUUAAAAAUCACAUUUUUUUACAUAUUUAAUCUGGACCCCGUAGUCCCUCUUGAGCGGCUGCACCGUCACCCCCCGCCCGUUCACCAGCUGCGUCAGGUCGAUGGGCUGGGUCGGGUCCACCCUGCCCAGGUCAAUGAGGUACUGGAGGCGUCGCAGCGACAGCGGCUGGUACUGAGGACGGCGACUGGGGACGAGACAGCGACAGACCGCCGUGUGGAUUAGACGUCUGACAGCGGGAACGUCAUCUUUCUGCAUGGCCUCGGUGACACCGGGUAUG